GGUGAACGCUGGCGGUAGGCCUAACACAUGCAAGUCGAACGGCAGCACAGUAAGAGCUUGCUCUUACGGGUGGCGAGUGGCGGACGGGUGAGGAAUACAUCGGAAUCUACUUUUUCGUGGGGGAUAACGUAGGGAAACUUACGCUAAUACCGCAUACGACCUACGGGUGAAAGCAGGGGAUCUUCGGACCUUGCGCGAUUGAAUGAGCCGAUGUCGGAUUAGCUAGUUGGCGGGGUAAAGGCCCACCAAGGCGACGAUCCGUAGCUGGUCUGAGAGGAUGGUCAGCCACACUGGAACUGAGACACGGUCCAGACUCCUACGGGAGGCAGCAGUGGGGAAUAUUGGACAAUGGGCGCAAGCCUGAUCCAGCCAUACCGCGUGGGUGAAGAAGGCCUUCGGGUUGUAAAGCCCUUUUGUUGGGAAAGAAAAGCAGCAGGUUAAUACCCCGCUGUUCUGACGGUACCCAAAGAAUAAGCACCGGCUAACUUCGUG
rnacentral:rRNA from 1 species